UUACGGGAGGCAGCAGUGGGGAAUUGUUCGCAAUGGGCGCAAGCCUGACGACGCAACGCCGCGUGGAGGAUGAAGGUCUUCGGAUUGUAAACUCCUGUUGCCCGGGACGAAAAGCUUCGACCUAACACGUCGAAGUCUGACGGUACCGGGUGAGGAAGCCCCGGCUAACUCUGUGCCAGCAGCCGCGGUAAUACAGAGGGGGCAAGCGUUGUUCGGAAUUACUGGGCGUAAAGGGCGCGUAGGCGGCCUGUUAAGUCGGACGUGAAAUCCCCGGGCUCAACCCGGGAACUGCGUCCGAUACUGGCAGGCUUGAAUCCGGGAGAGGGAUGUGGAAUUCCAGGUGUAGCGGUGAAAUGCGUAGAUAUCUGGAGGAACACCGGUGGCGAAGGCGGCAUCCUGGACCGGUAUUGACGCUGAGGCGCGAAAGCCAGGGGAGCAAACGGGAUUAGAUACCCCUGUAGUCCC
rnacentral:rRNA from 1 species